AGUCAUCUGCGAUCUGUAUAACCUUUUAUUAUAUAUAUAUAAAUAAGAAUAACGUGGAAAUUGGUUUCUGUAUAAUUCGUAUAGUUAUUGUUGAGUGAUACAUUGAUUUACUAAACUUAGUUAAUUGAAAAAUCCGUGAGUUCGGGAUGAAAAGUUUUCUCUGACAGGAAACGUAAAUUACUUUGGUGGAAAUUGAGGUUACGAGCAGUCAGUGCUUUCAGCAGUCUUAUUUUCGAUGAGCAAGGCAUCACUCCAACAAUAAGACAAUAAAUUAAAUCAACGCUUUGCGGCGAAUUGUUCAAUCAUACGGAAAGUCGGUGAAGUUGCAGAAAAUACCGAUAAACAAUUUACCAAUAAUACAGAUAAAUACCGAUAACAAUACCAGCAAUUUUACCUACAAAAAAACCUUCGCACAGUUCAUGAAAGAAACAUUACCCAGAAUAUAAUACUAAAAAUAUUACAACAAAUUGACUAGAAAUUAUCAUUUAUUUUAUAAUCUCACUGGAAGAACAAUUUAAUUUUUCAAAUACAUUCGAUCAAUUCAGUUUUAAUUUUGUAUUUUGAUUAUUUAGAUUCAAUAAUCACGUGAAACGCAACAUUAAUUA